rnacentral:rRNA from 1 species
UGGGGAAUUUUGCACAAUGGGGGAAACCCUGAUGCAGCGACGCCGCGUGAUUUAGAAGGCCUUCGGGUUGUAAAAAUCUUUUCUAUGAGAAGAAAAUGACAGUACCAUAGGAAUAAGGACCGGCUAAUUACGUGCCAGCAGCCGCGGUAAUACGUAAGGUCCGAGCGUUGUCCGGAAUCAUUGGGCGUAAAGGGUACGUAGGCGGGUAAGCAAGUUAGAAGUGAAAUCCUGUAGCUCAACUACAGUAAGCUUUUAAAACUGCUCAUCUUGAGAUAUGGAAGGGAAAGUGGAAUUCCUAGUGUAGCGGUGAAAUGCGCAGAUAUUAGGAGGAAUACCGGUGGCGAAGGCGACUUUCUGGCCAUAAUCUGACGCUGAGGUACGAAAGCGUGGGUAGCAAACAGG